AGACAGUGUCAGGUAGGCAGUUUGACUGGGGCGGUCGCCUCCUAAAAUGUAACGGAGGCGCCCAAAGGUUCCCUCAGAAUGGUUGGAAAUCAUUCGCAGAGUGUAAAGGUAUAAGGGAGCUUGACUGUGAGACUGACAAGUCGAGCAGGGACGAAAGUCGGGCUUAGUGAUCCGGUGGUUCCGUAUGGAAGGGCCAUCGCUCAACGGAUAAAAGCUACCCUGGGGAUAACAGGCUUAUCUCCCCCAAGAGUCCAC
rnacentral:rRNA from 1 species